rnacentral:rRNA from 1 species
ACGGAGGAUGCGAGCGUUAUCCGGAUUUAUUGGGUUUAAAGGGUGCGCAGGCGGAUCGGUAAGUCAAGGGUGAAAAGCUGCUGCUCAACAGCAGUCGUGCCAAUGAUACUGCCGAACUAGAGUGUAAGAGGUGUACUUGGAAUGUGAUGUGUAGCGGUGAAAUGCUUAGAUAUGUCACAGAACGCCGAUCGUGAAGACAGAUUACAAACUUACAACUGACGCUGAGGCACGAAAGCGUGGGGAGAAAACAG